rnacentral:rRNA from 1 species
AUUGAACGCUGGCGGCAGGCUUAACACAUGCAAGUCGAGCGAGCGGCGGAAGGGUGAGGAAGGUCUGGGAAACUGCCUGAAGGAGGGGGAUAACUAAUGGAAACGGUAGCUAAUACCGCAUACCAUAAGAUGUGCCCAGAGGGGAUUAGCUAGGAGGUGGUGUAAUGGCUCACCUAGGCGACGAACCCUAGCUGGUCUGAGAGGAUGACCCGCCACACAUGAACGUAGACACGGUCCAGACUCCUACGGUCGGCAGCAGGGGUGAUUAUUGCCCAAUGGGCGCAAGCCGGAUGCAGCCAUGCCGCGUGUGUGAAGAAGGCCUUCGGGUUGUAAAGCACUUUCAGCGAGGAGGCGUUACUCGCAGAGGAAGCACCGUCUAACUCCGUGCCAGCCGCCGCGGUAAUUC